GGCGUAGGCGGAGAUGUAAGCCAGACGUGAAAGCCCGGGGCUCAACCCCGGAAUAGCAUUUGGAACUACAUUUCUUGAGGAUAGGCGGAGAAAACGGAAUUCUGCAUGUAGCGGUGAAAUGCGUAGAUAUGCAGAAGAACACCGGUGGCGAAGGCGGUUUUCUAGCUUAUUCCUGACGCUGAGGCCCGAAAGCUAGGGGAGCGAACA
rnacentral:rRNA from 1 species